CCCGACCUCUUGCAAUAAUGAAUAAGAGGUCCCGCCUGCCCUGUGACUAUAAGUUUAACGGCCGCGGUAUUUUGACCGCGCGAAGGUAGCGCAAUCACUUGUCUCUUAAAUGGGGACCUGUAUGAAUGGCACAACGAGGGCUUAGCUGUCUCCUCCCCUAAGUUAAUGAAAUUGAUCUCCCCGUGCAGAAGCGGGGAUAAACACAUAAGACGAGAAGACCCUAUGAAGCUUUAGACGUAAGGUAGCCCAAAAUACAAUGCCCUCCUUACAAGGAAGCAAACCAAAAGGCCCCCUACCCCGAUGUCUUUGGUUGGGGCGACCGCGGGGAAAGAAAAAACCCCCACGUGGAACGGGAGUACAACUCCUUAAACUAAGAGCCCCAGCUCUAAGAAACAAAAUUUUUGACCUACAGAUCCGGCAAUGCCGAUCAACGGACCGAGUUACUCUAGGGAUAACAGCGCAAUCCCCUUUUAGAGACCAUAUCAACAAGGGGGUUUACGACCUCGAUGUUGGAUCAGGACAUCCUACUGGUGCAGCAGCUAUUAAGGGUUCGUUUGUUCAACGAUUAAAGUCCU
rnacentral:rRNA from 1 species